UACGGAGGAUGCGAGCGUUAUCCGGAUUUAUUGGGUUUAAAGGGUGCGUAGGCGGGAUGCCAAGUCAGCGGUAAUAAUGCGGUGCUCAACGCCGUCGAGCCGUUGAAACUGGCGUUCUUGAGUGGGCGAGAAGUAUGCGGAAUGCGUGGUGUAGCGGUGAAAUGCAUAGAUAUCACGCAGAACUCCGAUUGCGAAGGCAGCAUACCGGCGCCCUACUGACGCUGAGGCACGAAAGCGUGGGUAUCGAACAGG
rnacentral:rRNA from 1 species